rnacentral:tRNA from 2 species
AGGCGGAUAGCUCAGCGGGAGAGCAUCGGCCUUACAAGCCGGGGGUCACGGGUUCAAAUCCCGUUCCGCCUACCA